GGAAUAUCACAGGUGGGGUCGUCACGGGGUGUUAGAACUGUUAGAAUGCUCAGGAGAAGAUGAGGCACAUGGAGAACGGGAACUCUUGCACCUCCGGUUUCUUGGAUAUGGAUGCAUGUUCGCCAGUUCACUGACUCGAUGCAGGACAGACUUUGGCAAAGGUCGCCAAGACAGGUUAUGUUUACCCUUUUCCGUUGAUUUGCUUUGUUUCUGUAGAUAAGUUGCUUUAAGAAGAUUCCUCCAUUUAUCCUGCAAGACGUAUGAGCAACAGAGUGCCGACUUUAGGUAAGUA
rnacentral:misc_RNA from 1 species